GCCAUUUUGAAGGAUGCCAGCAUGGUUGAAACUCUCUCCAGUUCCAGAGCCAGCUGCCAAGACUUUCUAAGGCUCCAGGCUGGAUAUCAUCAUAUACUGUAAGUUGGAAUCAGACACUACAGUAUAGAUGAUGUACUACCUUGACCCUUUUUCGUCCAACUGACCACCCAGAGCUUAAAGUCUUCAGAUGUAGGACUGGGGUUGCGGGGAGUAAGCACAGCUGCAUUUCUUAAUCUUAAGGUGCCUAAAGAUGCAGAAUCUUUCCCAGCUGCUUCCAGAGAAGUCAGAAGUGUCUGUGAUCACUCACUGGAGAGAAGAGCAAAGGCACUCUGCACGUGUAUUCGGAAGCAACCUUCAAACACAUUAAACCCUGCUUUUCUGUGCAACAGGGUAGGCCAGAGAAAGCUUAGCAGAAUCAGAAGAAAGGGGUCAAAAUAACUGGAGUGAAAAACCAAACCACCCUCCCCACCACCAAGUCUGCUGCAAGAAAAAAAUUGUGGUGUGUUGGUGAAACCGUUACCAUUACUGAGUUUAGUAAUGGUAAUGGUUAUUCUGCCACCCCAGCCGGCAUCCAUGAAAGAGGCAGCACCAUCUUCCAGCAAGACCUCUUCGUCCUCCUUUGUGGUUUUUAAAAAUAAAAACAAUGGGCCAAA